rnacentral:rRNA from 1 species
GCAAUCGCCCUUCGGGGCGUGCGCUUGUGGAACGAGCGGCGGACGGGUGAGUAACACGUGGGCAACCUGCCUGUAAGACUGGGAUAACUCGUGGAAACGCGAGCUAAUACCGGAUAACACUUUUUGUCACCUGAUGAGAAGUUGAAAGGCGGCUUUUAUGCUGUCACUUACAGAUGGGCCCGCGGCGCAUUAGCUAGUUGGUGAGAUAAGAGCUCACCAAGGCGACGAUGCGUAGCCGACCUGAGAGGGUGAUCGGCCACACUGGGACUGAGACACGGCCCAGACUCCUACGGGAGGCAGCAGUAGGGAAUCAUCCGCAAUGGACGAAAGUCUGACGGUGCAACGCCGCGUGAGUGAUGAAGGUUUUCGGAUCGUAAAACUCUGUUGUUGGGGAAGAACAAGUACCGUUUGAAUAAGACGGUACCUUGACGGUACCUAACCAGAAAGCCCCGGCUAACUACGUGCCAGCAGCCGCGGUAAUACGUAGGGGGCAAGCGUUGUCCGGAAUUAUUGGGCGUAAAGCGCUCGCAGGCGGUCUUUUAAGUCUGAUGUGAAAUCUUGCGGCUUAACCGUGAGCGGUCAUUGGAAACUGAAGGACUUGAGUACAGAAGAGGAGAGUGGAAUUCCACGUGUAGCGGUGAAAUGCGUAGAGAUGUGGAGGAACACCAGUGGCGAAGGCGACUCUCUGGUCUGUAACUGACGCUGAGGAGCGAAAGCGUGGGGAGCGAACAGGAUUAGAUACCCUGGUAGUCCACGCCGUAAACGAUGAGUGCUAGGUGUUAGGGGGUUUCCGCCCCUUAGUGCUGAAGUUAACGCAUUAAGCACU